rnacentral:lncRNA from 1 species
GGAAUGCUAGCAGGGACUUUCUAGACAUUUGGCUCUGAGUCGGUUACUUGUUCAGUAUGGUUCAAAAUGAAAGAGAAAUAGUAGAUUCUCCUGGGGGUGGCGAAUCAGGUGGGAAGGUGGAGCCAACGCUCUUUGCAAACUCUCUGGGGAGCCAGGGAGCCCGAGGAUGGAGGCUGAGGCCGUCUGUCGAGUCACAGGCAGGUUUUGGCAGAGUUCAAAGACUGCGAAGCAAAGUUCAGCCAUGUUGGGCUUUUGGGCUCAUAGAUGAGCAAGGGUACCCCAAUAUGAGGGCUCAGCAAAUUCUGGAACUUAUCAGUUCUGAAGACCUUUAGAGGAGAAGGAGGCAAGUAAAAGAAGGAGGAUGUGAGGAACCAGGAAUUGAGAUUUGGCAUUAAUCUUCAUUCUUGGUGCCUAGGGUUGGCCUUGCGUAUUGGCAAUGAAACAGGCUAUUUUUGACAUUGAGUUGUCCAGCGUUCUCUAAAGGUAUGUAGUCCUGCAGGGCGCUGCUUAAUGAACCAGAAGUCCUGCCUCUUAAGUACCUCACCAACUCAAAUGUGUGCAUGUCACCUUGGCGUGAAUCGGAGCAGGCGCUGGUGGAUACCGUUUGGAGGCAUGCCAGCAAGGAGCUCCUUGUGUAGCCUGCCUCUGGAGCCUCAAGUUCAACUUCCAUAGGGCCAAAAGGGGAGUCGGGCUGGGCAGAAGCUCCUGAGAACCAAAGCAAAUGGUCUGAGAGUCUGAGAGUGUAGUGGAGGUAACGUGUUUGUGUCCUCUCUGGCUGCAUCACCCCAAGUACUUGCAGACUCAGGUAGCCUAUUUGCAAGUUUAAAUAGUUUGAGUCCUGGCCGGUAACAUGAAUACUCUACAGUGGCCCAGGGUCAGGGAUAUAGAGUGGCAACUACUUGGCAGAACUGGAGCUUGCUCAGAUGAAAAGAUAAAUUGUACUGGUUAAACGAAGAUCAAGUGCAGGGUCUGGACUUUGUUUCUAUCUUUCAUGUGGACUCUAUAAGCACCGACACACAGCAUUCUAGAAACACUGCUCCCAUCCCUCCUGUCUCAUGUCAUCCUCCCAAUUCUGGGAGUUGGGGGGCAUACUCUUUCCAUGUGUGAUGUGAGAAAUUCCUUUCUCAUGGGAAGCAGGUGGCAUUCCUGGACUCUCCUUGGCCUGGCUGUUGGUAAGCACAGGAACUCAAGGUGUCUGAAUCUCUUGUCAAAGGUGGGCUGUAAGGCUCCAGAAGAGGAGGACAGAAGGAGUGCCUGCAGAGCUCCUGCCUGAGGCCUUUGGAUGGGCCCUGCUGGCUUGCGUGCUUAUUUGCCCCAAAUGAGGCAUGAGAGCAGUGAUCAGGUGUCUCCCCAGCAUCUGGUCUCAUGAAGACAAUAGAAGUGGUCGGAUCAGGUCCGCUGCCAUGCUUGGCUUGCCCAUGUCUCCUAGGAUUGGCUGCCUGGUGGCCAUCCCUCUGCCAUCCCCUUGACUGCCCUGUGAAUGACGUCCACUCUGAGACCCCAGGCCACUCAGAAAAACUGAAGAUUCUCAAGUUCAGGUGCA